rnacentral:rRNA from 1 species
AUUGAACGCUGGCGGCAUGCUUUACACAUGCAAGUCGAACGGUAACAGGGUGCUUGCACCGCUGACGAGUGGCGAACGGGUGAGUAAUGCGUCGGAACGUGCCGAGUAGUGGGGGAUAACGCAGCGAAAGUUGUGCUAAUACCGCAUACGUACUGAGGUAGAAAGUGGGGGACCUUCGGGCCUCACGCUAUUCGAGCGGCCGACGUCUGAUUAGCUAGUAGGUGAGGUAAAGGCUCACCUAGGCGACGAUCAGUAGCGGGUCUGAGAGGAUGGUCCGCCACACGUGGACUGAGACGAGGCCCAGACUCCUGCGGGGGGCAGCAGUGGGGAAUUUUGGACAAUGGGCGAAAGCCUGAUCCAGCCAUGCCGCGUGUCUGAAGAAGGCCUUCGGGUUGUAAAGGACUUUUGUCAGGGAGGAAAUCCCUAGUGCUAAUAACACUGGGGGAUGACAGUACCUGAAGAAUAAGCACCGGCUAACUACGUGCCAGCCGCCGCAGUAA